GCCGGGAUGGCUCAAUCAGUAGAGCUUGAGACUCUUAGCGUCGUGGGUUUGAACCCCACACUGAGCA